rnacentral:rRNA from 1 species
UACGAAGGGGCUAGCGUUGUUCGGAUUUACUGGGCGUAAGCGCACGUAGGCGGAUCGUUAAGUCGGGGUGAAAUCCUGGAGCUCAACUCCAGAACUGCCUUCGAUACUGGCGAUCUUGAGUCCGGAAGAGGUGAGUGGAACUCCUAGUGUAGAGGUGAAAUUCGUAGAGUAUUCGGAGGAACACCAGUGGCGAAGGCGGCUCACUGGUCCAUUACUGACGCUGAGGU